ensembl:miRNA
AUAAGUUCAUUUGGAUUUUUCCAUAAUAUGUGGUGGAAAAUCCAAAUGAACUUUUUU